CUCGCGGAAGAUGGCUGCGGAGUCAGGCUCCGGCCAGCGCGGCGGCUGCGGCGACGUCAGCGGGGCCGCGCCCGAGUGACACGCGGACCACCUGCAAUCGCGCCCGCGGGGACGCGCGCGGCCAGGGUGGGAGGGCCUGGGCCGAGGGACCGUAGUCGGACCUGGUGCCCGGAAGUCCCGGCUAGCGCGCCCCGAGUCCUCCGGGAUGCCCAUGGCGUCUGAGAUGCUCCGGAGCCGUGGCUCUGCAGAACUGGGCCUGCCUGGGGAGAGGGACAGUCGCUGGACCCGGUGCUCAGAAGCCCAACCUAACGCGUCCGGACCUCGGGGAUGCCAAGCGCGCCUGAGAUGCCCAGAGCUGUGGCUCUGCGGAGCCAGUCCGCACUGACCCUUUCUGAAGUCCGAUGUCCACUCUUCUCUUCCCCACCGAGAACUGCCUGCUGUGGUUUACUUGGUCACAAAACUUCAUGGAGGUUCUGAUGCUACCUUCUCGCACGUGGGACAACACCUGGCUGGGCUCCCCUGCCUAAAACUGUUGAUAUCUGCUGUGCUGUUGAAGACCCCAGUCUGCUCAGAGGGAGGAGGAGGCUCGGUCUCUGCCCUUAGGCCUUCCCGUUCAAGAGGGUCUCUUUCCUCUGAAUGCUGACAGGACACAGGAGAGACUUACUCAUUCAGUCAGUAAAUUUGAGAAACGACUUGUGGGCCAGGCUCAGUGCUAAUUUUAUUUACCCUUAGUGGACUCAGAGUGAAUGAAACAUUCACACCUUCCUGGAACCCACAAUCUAAGCUCUCCACCAGGUCAUUUCUAUUUUCAACACAGAACUUUAAACAUUAUUUCGGAAACCUUUCUGCCCAAGUAUCCAUUUCAUUAUUAUUUAUGAAUCGAACACAAUUUAAACAAAUUUAUUUUUAUCACUAGGGGAACAAAAGCAAAGCACCGAGUGCUAUCUCUAAGUCCUUUCUGUCUCAGUCUGCUUAUUCUAGCACUGGGGAAGCGCAAGAGAACUCCAGAAGCACAGACAAAUGGGAAAGGCACAGUUUGGCCAUCAGGAGGUUUUGGUAUAAAUCUGAGCUCUGCCAUUUCUAACGCCAUCUAUGUGGUGGGCUGUAUUCCUGGGUCUCCCCUCACCCCAGGCUCAUGAGCCCCUGUCCUGGCAGCAAGCUCUCCUGUUAAAGUCACUGGGCUCUGGGCAUUUGAGGCUUUGUCUUUGAUUUGUAAUCUGCUCUGCAGUUACCCAGGACCCAACAAUGAGGCAUCUGUUACAAAUCUAAUAUUAGCAACAAACACAAGUUACAUCAUCUUGUAUAAAGAGAAUAUUGAGGGAGAAACAUUUGGUCACUUUCAGAGAUGUGGCAGCACUGAACAAGAAGCUCUGUCAAGCGCUGGUGCCCUCUGUUCUGCAGGGGAGGGGGUGCCAUAGUGGAGGGAGGAAAGGAAGAAAAGAAGACUAGAGAGUAUAAUCUUCUUUUCUUUCCUUCUGUUCUUCUCUUCCAACAGAAUAUAGCAUAACUCUGCAUGAGUUCUACAGUGUCGGGCCCUUACCAAACUAACAAGCCUGGAACAAUUCACCUUAAUUAAAAACUUUUGGCUACGUGACUCAGAAGAUUCCAGCAACUGGGUCCUGUGCCCAGUGGUCAGGAGCAGAAGAUUCAAGGAGAAAGGCCUUGUUUCAAGGAAACACGAACUUCUACUGCAGAAAAGCCAAGCCCCAUCAGCACAGUGACUUGGCGAGACACAGGUCAACUAACGCAGCCUGGAUGCUGUCCACUGCAACAAAAGGAAGCAGAAACGUGGGAGGAGACAGCUGGUCAUGUGUCCUGGUGGCUGGAACGAAGACUGAGGAAUGGAGGGGGCAGGGACGGAAAACCAUGUGCUUCCGUGUCCUUCUGUACUUCUACUUUCCUUUAGCCUGAAAAGAAGCUAAACAAACCAGAACUCUUGUUGGCACUUGCUGAAGAAAUGGAACCUACCGCCUAACUCCUCACGGACCACAUGCCGGGUGAGUGAACUCAGCUCGUGUUACCUAGGGAGCUUUUUAAGUUUUUGUAAUCCAGCCAAUUGAAACAAAUUUUUGAGGGGGGAGUGUUUAGACAGUGUGUUUCAAAUAUGAUUCCAAUGGAAACCACAGUUGAGAACCAGACAUACAGAUACCUCUAGCAUUUGCUGCAGCAAUGCUUCCCAAACUUAAUACUUGCCCAUGACUCACCCAAAGAUCCUCCAGGUGAGGCCCUGGUGAGGAUCCUCCCCAUACCGUGCACAGAAGGAGCCAGAGCCCUUGGCUUUGCUAUUUUCUUCUCACGUUCUUUAGUAGAAAAGACAACAGAGGUGACACCUCUGAGUCCUAAGUAACAGGAAUAGUUAAAGUAAUAAUAUUACUAUUGAAAUAUUAAACAUAAUUAAC